rnacentral:RNase_P_RNA from 1 species
UGAGCAGAUUACCUUAUCGCGGUGACGAUUAAUGUCACCGAGGAAAGUCCGAACACCGCAGUGCAGCAUAGUGGUUAACAGCCACCGGCCGUGAGGUCAGGAAAAGUGCAACAGAAAGUAUGUACGGGUAAGGCCGUAGUGAAAUCAGGUAAACUCUAUGUGGUGCAAUGCCAUGUAUACCAGCGUUUAGGGUGGCACGCCCGAUGCUGGAGGGUAGGUAGCUAGAGCGUACUGGCAACAGUGCGCCAAGAUAAAUGAUGGGGGUCACGCUUUGUCGUGAUACAGAAUUCGGCUUAUAGAUUUGCUCGGGCA